CUUUAAUCUUGUUUUGCUAUUGGUGUAUACUGUUCGGGAAAAUUCUCCUGCAAUUCUUGGCCAAUUAAUCCCCCACAAAAACAUGAGAAUGCCUUCUGCUGGCGCCUUUGUACACAGUCAAAGGAAUGAUAUUCACGCUUAAAGAUAGUUGAGAUCAGACACAAAGGGUUAAUCCCAAUGAGCAGACAGCGCGAUUUCUGAUUGAACAAAGAACACUUUAUUGAGUGCUGCCUGGGUGCGGGGAGAAGGGCGGGAUGACCCAGAUGGGAGGCAAGAUCCUCCUGGAGGUCCUGAGGCUCCGGGCCCCCUUCGGUGGGCGGGGCCGUCGGGAACCUAAGAGCACUCUGCGGGGGCCACCUUCUUCUCCACGGUGCUCCCCUCGUGCGUGACCAGGCAGCUGAAGCUGCUGUGAGAUUUCCACUUGUCAGGCGUCAGGCUCAGGUAGCUGCUGGCCGCGUACUUGUUGUUGCUCUGCUUGGAGGGCUUGGUGGUCUCCACGCCCUGGGUGACGGGGCUGCCGUCUGCCUUCCAGGCCACCGUCACGCCGCUGGGGUAGAAGUCGCUGAUGAGGCACACCAGGGUGGCCUUGUUGGCGCCGAGCUCCUCAGAGGAGGGCGGGAAGAGUGUGACCGAGGGGGAGGCCUUGGGCUGACCUGUGGGGACGGAAGGCCGGUGGGUCAAGGCAGAUGUUUGUUGUGUCAGCACCUACCUGAGUGCUGGUGUGGGGGUACAGCUGUGUCCUGUCCAUGUUUUGGGCCUCAGGCAGCCCUUGUUCCUCGAGGUCAGUUCACCUAUGGCAUUAGGAUAAGUCACCUUCCGUUGGGGAGCAUCCGAAUAUACAAUUUUGGAAGAUCUGGGCCUCCCUAUCAUGUCCUCCCUCUCCAUCGUCACAUGACCUAUCACUCACCUUUAUACCCCAAGGGUUCCCUUGUUAGUGGAUUUAUCAGCAGGACACUUGGUCUUUCCCUGUGGAAUCUGUCUGUCCUGUGCAUGUCUUGCUAGGUCUAAGUCUGGGGUCUGUUCAUGUAGACCUCAUCUGUCUGUCAUGGUCCUAGGGUCUCAUCCCUUUUGGGUGGGCUUUUCUUGACCAUGUUCCCCCUGAAUCCAUCAAUGCACCCCUGGCCACUUCCUCACAGAGAUCCUCUGAGGCUGCCUGAGGUGGAGAGAGAGUCUGCCAUGGGAUGCAUUCCAGUACAGUCGGUGGAGGGUUAGUGGAAGAGGUGUGUCUGGAGCAGGGGCUUUUCUUAGGGGUCCCUUUGCCCAGGACCCUAUCCUGGGGAUCAGCCUGUCCAAGCACUGCAGUACCUGGCAGAGGUAGGAUCAAUUCCUGUCUCUGUUGGUCACCUAUCACCAGAUGCCCCAGCAUCUGCUCAGAAAUCUGUCUUCCAGCAUUUGUAUGGGGUUGAGAAAUUCUUGGGGCUUGAGUGGCUCGAGCCCCAUCCUGUCUGAGGAGAUCCUGCCUGUCUUGGAAGAGAAAGAGGGACCCUGCUCUCUGAAGCCACCUUGUCAUAAGAUAUCCUUUUUUAGUCCUUGUGUUCAUUGCUGAGUCCUCCUCAUGUCUUGCACAGCCUAGAGUCCCUAGUAGUCCCUCACUAGACCUCACGUAGAACUCGGAGAGCACAGGACUGAAGUGUGACACAUGCUUGGGCAGUUGAGCUUUGCCAGCACCUUUUCCAUGUCCCAUGGCCUUGCUGCCCCAGCUCGAGUCCCCCAGUCCUGUGCUUCUUCAGUCCCUCAUUCCCCAUAUAUGGGAUCCAGGAGACCUGAGUGGGCUCCCUACUACAGAGUCCGGGGAGACUCCCCUAGAGACCACUCAGGAUCAGAGUGAGGGCGAACAGAAGGAGUCUCUGGGACCUUCCUGUCCUGUUCAGCCCUGACCAGGAGAGUCUGAGAAGAGAGAACAGGGUGACGCGGUUUGGGGGUGACCCAACAGAGAAGGUGCUGGGCCCCAGAGAGGUUCAGACCCCAGCCACAGUCAGGAAAGAAAGGAGAGGAAAAUGUCCAAUAUAUCACUCUGGUCCCCAAAGAGAGGGAAAGGGGGAGACUCACCAAGGACGGUCAGUUGGGUUCCUGAGCCGAACACGUAACACAGUGAUACAGCCUUGAACACAAACCCUCUGUCACCCCUGCAGCCCCUCCCCUGCCCCAGGCCCAUGUGCAGCUGGCUGCUUUGGAGGCUCAAAGUCCAGCCUCCUCUUCUUGGGGUCUGUUCUGGCGCAUGGGCUCUUGGGUGCAGCCCCCUCCCCACCUGUCCUUUCAUUUCCUUCAGUGUUUGAGUGACAUAUCCUAUCCCAGGUAGUUUCCUGG
rnacentral:lncRNA from 1 species